UACGUAGGUGACAAGCGUUGUCCGGAUUUACUGGGCGUAAAGAGCGCGCAGGCGGUCGAUCAAGUCGAGUGUGAAAGCCCCCGGCUCAACUGGGGAGGGUCAUUCGAUACUGAUCGACUCGAAGGCAGGAGAGGGUAGUGGAAUUCCCGGUGUAGUGGUGAAAUUCGUAGAUAUUGGGAAGAACACCGGUGGCGAAGGCGGCGACCUGGUUCAUUACUGACGCUGAGGCGCGAAAGCGUGGGGAGCAAACAGG
rnacentral:rRNA from 1 species